rnacentral:rRNA from 1 species
UACGGGGGGAGCAAGCGUUGUUCGGAUUUACUGGGCGUAAAGGGCGCGUAGGCGGUCAGCACAAGUCAGUUGUGAAAUUUCGAGGCUUAACUUCGAAACUGCAUUCGAUACUGCCGUGCUAGAGGACUGGAGAGGAGACUGGAAUUUACGGUGUAGCGGUGAAAUGCGUAGAUAUCGUAAGGAAGACCAGUGGCGAAGGCGGGUCUCUGGACAGUUCCUGACGCUGAGGCACGAAGGCCAGGGGAGCAAACGGG